CGGCGCCCUGGCCCCGGAGCGGUUUAGCCGCUGCCUUGUGUCGCGGCCGCGUGCCGGGCGAUGGCCGCCCAGACCCCCGGGCCCCCGAUCGCCAACCCCGGGGCUUCCCACCCGCGCCUCGGUGGAGGGAGGCCCCGGAGGCGCCAUCGCUCGCGCCUGCCACCUGGACGCUGAAUAAACUGGGAAACAAUUAGGUGGCCGGGUGGGGAAGGUGCUGGGUGACUGCACUGCCAGGCGGCCGCGUGCCCCCGCGCUCGCAGGGGUUGGCGAUUGGGGGCGGUUGGGAGUUUGUGUUUAGGGAGGAAGGUGAGAGGUGCGGGAUCUGCCCACGAGGGCAGUCGCUCUCGGAGAAUCGGGGAAUGGCUCUGUCAGGUCGCAGGCCCUCCUCCGCCUUUAUCCCCAUCACGCACAAAAAGAAUGGGCCUUGCAAGGGAUGUUUAUUAUGCACUUUUAAGUGACUAUUCAGAAAAGAGCAGGAGGCACAAUAAAAAAGGCUUCUGCCCCACCAAUUCCCUUCCCUUGAAGAAAAAAAGAAAGAGAAAGCCACCCACAAAGAUGUGAAUGCAAGUUGAAGAUGUGAAAAUUACUGGAAACCAAUUUACAGCAACUGAAGCAAAUUAGGGCUUUAGGGCUCAUUGCAAACUUAAAAAAAAAUAAUGAAACAACCAGCUCUAGGCAAACCAUAUGUGCCAUCCCAAAUCUUUAUUAAUGGAAGUAUAGCUACACGUUAAAGAGAAUUGAAUUUCCACAGCACAGAUCCGAAUAGUCAAAUGCACAGACUGUAAGCCUUUAUUCUCAAGGUGAGUUACCAAAAGAUUGUACAGUGAUUUAGAGGCAGCUUUUGCAGUAGCCUUAUACUCAGAUGUUUGAAAGACCUCUACGUUAUUAGCUACACUGCCCAAACAUCAAUGUACUUUUUGAAGUUUGGAGGAAAAAAUGCAUUUUAUUUUGCCAAUAUUGGAAAACAACUACCUACAAAAAACAAUCAAAAUAGUUGGCAUAUACAUCUUGACUACAACUGAGAUUUUCAGCAUAUACCAAAAAAGUUCCAAAGCUUGAAACAUUAGUAAUAGGUCAAAAGCCAGCUUCUUCUAAUAUUAGUAAUAAUUUCUAUGGGAUCAUAAUUUCCAUACGUGUUAUGAGAUGUUGGAUAGAGAAUGUGACAUCUCUGAACAGAAAUAAAGAUCCAAAGGAAUUUUCCACUCAGAUGACACCAAAAAUGACCCUUCAAAUGAGCCAAUCAUGCACCAGCUCUUACUAGUAUACAACAACAGAGGACAAAAGAUGACACAGCAGCCACGUCCUACAGGUCGACUUGAUCUCACCACGUUGUAGUGAAUUCAAUUGUGACUCGUAAGCCUUGCUCAACUCUUAGAACUGAUCCACCCAUUUCAGACUUUCUCUGGAAGGUUCUCCAUCCUCAAAUACAUUUUGCAAAGUUGGUUCAGAGCAAAAGAAGAAGCAUGGGAAUAUCACAGUGGAUGAGAAUUGGGUCAACACCUAAUGUGUCUUAUCCUCAUCAGUCUGAUUUUCUUCUGAUUCUCAACCCUAUGCAGAUGCCUAAUCUCCUCUACUUAAACAUUUUUAGCUCUCCAACUGGUUGUUCUAAAUGUGAAAACAAAGCC
ensembl:lncRNA